GAAUCUUCCACAAUGGACGAAAGUCUGAUGGAGCAAUGCCGCGUGAGUGAAGAAGGUUUUCGGAUCGUAAAGCUCUGUUGUAAGGGAAGAACACGUACGGGAGUAACUGCCCGUACCUUGACGGUACCUUAUUAGAUAGCCACGGCUACCUACGGGCCAGCAGCCGCGGUAAUACGUAGGUGGCAAGCGUUGUCCGGAUUUAUUGGGCGUAAAGCGAGCGCAGGUGGUUUCUUAAGUCUGAUGUGAAAGCCCACGGCUCAACCGUGGAAGGUCAUUGGAAACUGGGGAACUUGAAUGCAGAAGAGGAGAGUGGAAUUCCAUGUGUAGCGGUGAAAUGCGUAGAUAUAUGGAGGAACACCAGUGGCGAAGGCGACUCUCUGGUCUGUUAUUGACACUGAGGCUCGAAAGCGUGGGGAGCAAACA
rnacentral:rRNA from 1 species